rnacentral:lncRNA from 1 species
AGAUCAUGUGCCUGCCCUUUUGACCUCCACAUUUUCACCACCUGUUUCCCUGUUGGAUUACCAAUAAAUAGCGUGGGCUCCCAGCGCUCAGGGCCUUCGCAGUCUCCACGAUCACGAUGGUCCUCUGGUGUCCCAUCUUUCUCUCUCAAACUGUCCUUUCCUCAAUCCUUUGACUCCGCCGGACUUUGUCACCCCCACAACCUGGUUUUGGGUCUGGCCACCCCAACAUUAAUUAUUCUUUGAUGGACACUUGAGUUGCUUACACCUUUCACUAUUGUGAAUAAUGCUGCUGUGCAUGUACAGUGGCUCAUGCUUGUAAUCCCAGAGUUUUUGGAGGCCAAGACAGAACUGCUUGAGCUCAAGAGUUUGAAACCAGCCUGGGCAACAUAAUGAGAUCUCAUCUCUACAAACAAUUAAAGUAUUAGCCAAGCAAGGUGGUUUACAUGACUGGCUACUAGGGAAGCUGAGUCUAACCAUGAGAAAAACACCAAAUCAUCCCAAAUUAAGGAUGUUGGAUGAAGUGCCUGUCCAAUACACAAAACCGUCAAGUUGGUGAAAAACAAAGUCUGAGAAACAGUCACAGUCAAAAGGAGCCAAAAGAAAUCUGAAUACUAAAUGUUAUGUGCUACCUUGGAUGGGAUCCUGGAACAGAAAAAAAAAAAGAGGCAUUUUCCCAACGCAAAUGGCAGCAUAAGCAUCUGAGAAUCUGAGCAGCCCUUGCAAGCACCUCACAGAAGCUGAAGAAACAAAAGUUGGAGUUCAGAACCUAUCAAUGUGGAGGCAUUCUAGCAAUGAACUCUAGAGUUAAGAUGGGUCUCCCAAACAAAUGAAAACAAACUGUGAAUAAAACAUUCCUUUCAGAAAAUAAAAGCAGUCACUGAAUGACCUCAAUCAUUGACCUUAGUAUGGACAUUUGCCUUUGUCUUAGCUAUGGCUGAAAAGC